CGGAGGGCGCAAGCGUUGUUCGGAAUUACUGGGCGUAAAGCGCGCGCAGGCGGGAGGGUAAGUCUGGAGUGAAAUUCCGGGGCUCAACUCCGGAGCUGCUUUGGAUACUGUCUUUCUAGGGACCGGUAGAGGCCGGUGGAAUUCCCGGUGUAGCGGUGGAAUGCGUAGAGAUCGGGAAGAACACCCGUGGCGAAGGCGGCCGGCUGGGCCGGGUCCGACGCUGAGGCGCGAAAGCGUGGGGAGCAAACAGGAUUAGAUACCCUGGUAGUCCACGCUGUAAACGAUGGGCACUAGGUGCCGGGGGGAGCGACCCCGUCGGUGCCGCAGCUAACGCGAUAAGUGCCCCGCCUGGGGAGUACGGCCGCAAGGCUG
rnacentral:rRNA from 1 species